rnacentral:lncRNA from 1 species
GUGAUGAUCCUAUGACCAGGAGCCUUUAGGAAUUAAAUACAUAUCUAUAAUUCUCAAUACUUUGAGAGUAUGUAUCAAAAUUAAUUUCAUAGAUAAUUCAAUGACACAUUAUACUUGAAUGAAAAAAAAUUUGCUCUUUUAUUGAUCAUAUCAAUAUAUUAAGUAUAAAAUUAUGCUCUAGACUAAUUACAAUAUGUCAGCCAUAUUGACUUCUAGGAGAUACAUCUAACAAAAAUCAAAUCAGAUAUGGAUGUGA